UACGUAGGGUGCAAGCGUUGUCCGGAAUUAUUGGGCGUAAAGAGCUCGUAGGCGGUUUGGUGCGUCGGCUGUGAAAUCCCGAGGCUCAACCUCGGGUCUGCAGUCGAUACGAGCAAACUAGAGUGUUGCAGGGGAGACUGGAAUUCCUGGUGUAGCGGUGAAAUGCGCAGAUAUCAGGAAGAACACCGGUGGCGAAGGCGGGUCUCUGGGCAACAACUGACGCUGAGGAGCGAAAGCGUGGGGAGCGAACAGG
rnacentral:rRNA from 1 species